UUUGGACUUGAAGCAAUGAACUUUCUUUGCAUUAUUUUUGCAUUUUCUUUAUCUUAAGAUUGUUUUGGUGAUGUGAUGGAAUUUGGUGUUUUCCAGGUGAAGAAUUUCCCUGAUGAUUCCACACCAGCAUUUGGUUGAUGUUUUGAUUGGCAACACAUAGCCUCUCAGGUGCUUGUUCUUUCCUCUGCUGGGCCCAGCAGAUGAAAUUGCAAACACUUUUCUUUUUAAUUUUCUUAAAAUAAAAAGGGUGAGAUGUCACCGACAUGAUUUAUGAAAAAUCCUUUCCUUAGGAUUUUUCCCCUCCUGAGAAGCUGAGAGGCCUCAGGAACAAACUGUAAACAAUUCUUAUCUGCUGCCGUGGAAUGCAACAGGAGGAAUCUGUGAUUGGUCUCAUCUGGCUGUUUGCAAUUAAGGGCCAAUCACAAAUCACCUGUCCAGACGGUCUCGGGCAGAGACAAGCCUUUGUUAUUCAUUCCUAUUCUAUUCUUAGCUUAGACUUCUGAUGAAAUCCUUUCCUCUAUUCUUUUAGUAUAGUUUUAAUAUAUUAUCUAUCAUAAAAUAAUAAAUCAAGCCUUUUGACACAUGGAGUCAACUUUCUCGUCUCUUCCCUCAUCCUGGGGACCCUUGUGGACAAUACCACAGAUACCUUAUUGUUUCUUGUAGUGUGUGUGAGAGUGAGUCACACACAAAGUCAACUUCAGCUUGGCGGGUGGGAAGGGGGGGGCAGUGGACAGAGGAGUGUGUGACCUGCAAACCAGGCUAUGGUCCCCAGGCAGGUGGGGCUUUAGCUGAAGGUGUGUGUGACCUGCAAACCAGGCCAUGGUCCCUGGGCAGGUGGGGCUUUAGCUGAAGGUGUGAGUGACACGCAGAAGCCUCACAGGUGAACGGGCACCGGAGGCGACCAGAGUCAGGGCCCUUCCAGGAGGCCUGGAGAUACUGAGACCUGGAGGCCAAACCCCAAGGCGAGGGGGGCCACAGGGACCCCUGAUUUUCUGGUGGUAAGGAUCCACUUUGUGUCUUGAGGGUGUGAAGGAAUGUGUGAAGGUGAAUGAGAAAUAAAAGUGAGUGGAUUGUGCAUUUUAAGCUUUACCCCACAUCUCCUUAGAGGGAGGUGUAUUGUGUUGAAAAAUAGUGUGGGGAAAAAAAUGGUUUGUUUUGGGUGUAAGUGGUUGAAAGAAAAGUGGUAUUUAAGCUGUUAGUGGAAGUGAGAAACAGAGGCAGGGGAUGGAUAGAUAAGAUCUUGAAAAUGGAACAGAAAACCAGUAAGCUGGAUACAGGGGAAAAAAAGGGGCAAUAAAAGCAUACUAGAAGAGAUAUCCCAAGACAGCCCUUUGGGAGAUAAAUUAGCUAACAGAAAUACAACUCCUUGCAAAAGACAGGGUAUGCAGAAGUUGAUGAGAAAAACAUGCAAACUAUGGAAAAAGGGAAAUUAACCAAAUAAUCUUAAACUAGAAGGCUCAAACUGUUUAAUUAUAGACUUUAAAAAGAGCACUAGAAUAUCUAACACAAAGAAAAGAGAUUACUUAAUUCAAGAGGAAAAAGAUUAGUACAUGAGAAACUUAUUUGAGAGGUUUUAGAGGCAUUAAAAUUACCUAAGAGAGAUAGCUAUAGUACAUAUUAAGGGACACCAAAAGGUAAAGACCCCAGAAAGAAGAGGAAAUAAUUUGGCAGAUCAGGAAGGUAAAGAUGCAGCAGAAAAUGGAGCUGAAAGAGUUAAUAUUAGCUCCAAAUGAGGAAAAAUUGGAAAUUCCAAAGUGUAGGGAAGCAAAGAAAAAAAGGAAUUAAA